AAAUUCAAUCAUGGAUUACAAAAAAUUCGAUCAUGGAUUACAUAAAAUUCGAUCAUGGAUUACAUAAAAUUCGAUCAUGGAUUACAAAAAAAAACAAACAAAAAAAAACAAAAAAUUCAAUCGUGGAUUACAAAAAAAGAAAAAAACAAUUCGAUCAUGGAUUACAAAAAAUUCAAUCAUGGGUUACAAAAAAAGCAAAAAACAAAAAAUUCAAUCAUGGAUUACAAAAAAAAAACAAACAUUUCGAUCAUGUAUUACAAAACAUUCGAUCAUGGAUUACAAAAAAUUCUAUCAUGGGUUACAAAAAAAAAA
rnacentral:lncRNA from 1 species